rnacentral:rRNA from 1 species
GCGAGGACCACCUCGUAAGGCUAAACACUUCCGAACGACCGAUAGCGGACUAGUACCGUGAGGGAAAGGUGAAAAGCACCCCGGUGAGGGGAGUGAAAUAGUACCUGAAACCAUUAGCUUACAAGCAGUCGGAGGGAUCACUUGUGGUCCUGACGGCCUGCCUUUUGAAGAAUGAGCCGACGAGUUAUUGAUGUGUGGCGAGGUUAAGUCGAGUGACGGAGCCGCAGCGAAAGCGAGUCUUAAUAGGGCGUCUAGUCGCAUGUCAUAGACCCGAAGCCGGGUGAUCUAUCCAUGGACAGGGUGAAGCGAGGGUAAGACCUCGUGGAGGCCCGAACCCACCUAGGUUGAAAACUGGGGGGAUGAUCUGUGGAUAGGGGUGAAAGGCCAAUCAAACCCGGCGAUAGCUGGUUCUCCCCGAAAUAGCUUUAGGGCUAGCGUCGUAUGUUCCGCAUUGGGGGUAGAGCACUGAUUGGGUUAGGGGGCCAAAAAGCUUACCGACCCCAGUUAAACUCCGAAUCCCAAUGCGCCAAGUACGGCAGUCAGACCAUGGGGGAUAAGCUUCAUGGUCGAAAGGGAAACAGCCCAGAUCGUCAGCUAAGGUCCCAAAGUCAGAACUAAGUGGGGAACGAUGUGGAGUUGCCCAAACAGCCAGGAGGUUGGCUUAGAAGCAGCCAUUCCUUUAAAGAGUGCGUAACAGCUCACUGGUCGAGUGAUCCCGCGCGGAUAAUGUAACGGGGCUCAAGUUCUGCACCGAAGCUACGGGUUCUCAUCUGAACCCCGGCCUGAUCCUUCGGGAGAUGGUCCAGGGGAUGAGAGCGGUAGGGGAGCGUCGUGUGGCCGACGAAGCGGCGGCGGAAGCCAGCCGUGGAGGCCACUCGAGUGAGAAUGUCGGCAUGAGUAGCGAAUGAGGAGUGAGAAUCUCCUCCGCCGGAUGUCCAAGGUUUCCUGGGGAAGGCUCGUCCGCCCAGGGUUAGUCGGGACCUAAGGUGAGGCCGAGAGGCGUAAUCGAUGGAUAACGGGUUGAUAUUCCCGUACCACCACAGGCGCGCCCAGGCUGAAUCCAACUUGCUAAGGAAAGCCCUUCGGGGCCUACCGACCCAGUUGGUAUUAGGCCAGCAAUGGAGUGACGCGGAAGGGUAAGCGGACCCGGGCGAUGGUUGUCCCGGGGUAAGCGUGUAGGACGAGAUCUAGGCAAAUCCGGAUCUCACGAAGUCCGAGGCGCGAAGCCGAGCCGAUACAGGCGAAGCCGCUGAACGCCCAAGCCGCCAAGAAAAGCUUCUAGCGAGCUCCUGUGGUGCCCGUACCCCAAACCAACACAGGUGGACAGGUAGAGAAUACUAAGGCGAGCGAGAUAACUCUGGUUAAGGAAUUCGGCAAAAUGGCUCCGUAACUUCGGGAGAAGGAGCGCCCCGGUAGGGUGUAGGACCUCGCGUCCGAAGCUCGAAGGGGUUGCAGAGACCAGGCCCAAGCGACUGUUUACUAAAAACACAGGAGCGUGCGAAGUCGCAAGACGCAGUAUACGCUCUGACGGUGCUGGAAGGUCAAGGGGAUAGGUUAGCUCUUCGGAGCGAAGCUUUGAACUCAAGCCCCAGUAAACGGCGGCGGUAACUAUAACCGUUGAACAGAAAACUGAACGGCGGUUGCAAAACCUGGCUAUAUGCUGGAACAUCCGAGUAUCCGACGGUACUCGUUCGGUCCAAAGGUAGAAAUACCGAAGGACAUGAACAGUGAAAAUCCGAUCGGUGCGGACAAUCAGCAGGAAACCGAAGCCACAGAACGACCAAUCGAUCCAUAUCGGAUCGUCAGAGGAUCGCCUCGAGCGAACCGUCUGACGUACCGGAUGCUGGCAACUCAAGCCGGCGGACGGGCAGACCGAAACGAAUCGAGGGUUGGCGUGGAAGACCAUGCAUCCAGGCAUACGUACCGAUCGCAAGAUCGAUGCCAACACGGAAGCACUGGUCCCUGGACAGAACCGAAAGGUGACGUCCUGUAGGGAUCCUCAGAGACUGUACGCUAGGCGCCGCAAUGAGUAGCGGUGAUGAUACAGUCCGAUCCUCAUGGCGACAUGGGGAGCCCGGCAGAAAUGACCGGGCCCGUUACUUCACGUAAUGAAUUCCACGUGGAGUGCGAAGUAACAAGAAUGCCUAAGGUAGCGAAAUUCCUUGUCGGGUAAGUUCCGACCUGCACGAAUGGCGCAACGACUUGGGCAC